GACGGGGGGUCCAAGCGUUGCUCGGAAUCAUUGGGCGUAAAGAGGGCGUAGGUGGCUUUGUAAGUCAGGAGUGAAAGCCCUGGGCUCAACCCAGGAAGUGCUUUUGAUACUGUGAAGCUUGAGUGUGGUAGAGGAUAGUAGAAUUCCUGGUGUAGUGGUGAAAUACGUAGAUAUCAGGAGGAAUACCUGUGGCGAAGGCGGCUAUCUGGACCAACACUGACACUGAGGCCCGAAAGCGUGGGGAGCAAACAGG
rnacentral:rRNA from 1 species